GACGAACCGUGCGAACGUUGUUCGGAAUCACUGGGCUUAAAGGGCGCGUAGGCGGGCGAUCAAGUCAGGGGUGAAAUCCGUCGGCUUAACCGGCGAAGAGCUUUUGAUACUGGUCGUCUCGAGGGAGGUAGGGGCAUACGGAACUUCCGGUGGAGCGGUGAAAUGCGUAGAGAUCGGAAGGAACACCAGUGGCGAAGGCGGUUGCCUGGAGCUUUGCUGACGCUGAUGCGCGAAAGCGUGGGGAGCGAUCCGG
rnacentral:rRNA from 1 species